GCCCUGGUGGUGGAAUUGGUAGACACAAGGGCCCUCGGCGUUCGCGCUGUGCCGGUUCAAGUCCGGCCCGGGGCACCA
rnacentral:tRNA from 1 species